GAUGAACGCUGGCGGCGUGCCUAAUACAUGCAAGUCGAGCGAACGGACGAGAAGCUUGCUUCUCUGAUGUUAGCGGCGGACGGGUGAGUAACACGUGGAUAACCUACCUAUAAGACUGGGAUAACUUCGGGAAACCGGAGCUAAUACCGGAUAAUAUUUUGAACCGCAUGGUUCAAAAGUGAAAGACGGUCUUGCUGUCACUUAUAGAUGGAUCCGCGCUGCAUUAGCUAGUUGGUAAGGUAACGGCUUACCAAGGCAACGAUGCAUAGCCGACCUGAGAGGGUGAUCGGCCACACUGGAACUGAGACACGGUCCAGACUCCUACGGGAGGCAGCAGUAGGGAAUCUUCCGCAAUGGGCGAAAGCCUGACGGAGCAACGCCGCGUGAGUGAUGAAGGUCUUCGGAUCGUAAAACUCUGUUAUUAGGGAAGAACAUAUGUGUAAGUAACUGUGCACAUCUUGACGGUACCUAAUCAGAAAGCCACGGCUAACUACGUGCCAGCAGCCGCGGUAAUACGUAGGUGGCAAGCGUUAUCCGGAAUUAUUGGGCGUAAAGCGCGCGUAGGCGGUUUUUUAAGUCUGAUGUGAAAGCCCACGGCUCAACCGUGGAGGGUCAUUGGAAACUGGAAAACUUGAGUGCAGAAGAGGAAAGUGGAAUUCCAUGUGUAGCGGUGAAAUGCGCAGAGAUAUGGAGGAACACCAGUGGCGAAGGCGACUUUCUGGUCUGUAACUGACGCUGAUGUGCGAAAGCGUGGGGAUCAAACAGGAUUAGAUACCCUGGUAGUCCACGCCGUAAACGAUGAGUGCUAAGUGUUAGGGGGUUUCCGCCCCUUAGUGCUGCAGCUAACGCAUUAAGCACUCCGCCUGGGGAGUACGACCGCAAGGUUGAAACUCAAAGGAAUUGACGGGGACCCGCACAAGCGGUGGAGCAUGUGGUUUAAUUCGAAGCAACGCGAAGAACCUUACCAAAUCUUGACAUCCUUUGACAACUCUAGAGAUAGAGCUUUCCCCUUCGGGGGACAAAGUGACAGGUGGUGCAUGGUUGUCGUCAGCUCGUGUCGUGAGAUGUUGGGUUAAGUCCCGCAACGAGCGCAACCCUUAAGCUUAGUUGCCAUCAUUAAGUUGGGCACUCUAAGUUGACUGCCGGUGACAAACCGGAGGAAGGUGGGGAUGACGUCAAAUCAUCAUGCCCCUUAUGAUUUGGGCUACACACGUGCUACAAUGGACAAUACAAAGGGCAGCGAAACCGCGAGGUCAAGCAAAUCCCAUAAAGUUGUUCUCAGUUCGGAUUGUAGUCUGCAACUCGACUACAUGAAGCUGGAAUCGCUAGUAAUCGUAGAUCAGCAUGCUACGGUGAAUACGUUCCCGGGUCUUGUACACACCGCCCGUCACACCACGAGAGUUUGUAACACCCGAAGCCGGUGGAGUAACCUUUUAGGAGCUAGCCGUCGAAGGUGGGACAAAUGAUUGGGGUG
rnacentral:rRNA from 2 species